UACGUAGGGUGCGAGCGUUAAUCGGAAUUACUGGGCGUAAAGCGUGCGCGAGCGGUUGUGCAAGACAGAUGUGAAAUCCCCGGGCUCAACCCUGGGAACUGGCAUUUGUGACUGCACGGCUGGAGUGCGGCAGAGGGGGAUGGAAUUCCGCGUGUAGCAGUGAAAUGCGUAGAUAUGCGGAGGAACACCGAUGGCGAAGGCAAUCCCCUGGGCCUGCACUGACGCUCAUGCACGAAAGCGUGGGGAGCAAACAGG
rnacentral:rRNA from 1 species